AGAGUUUGAUCCUGGCUCAGGACGAACGCUGGCGGCGCGCCUAACACAUGCAAGUCGAACGGAGCUUAGAGAGCUUGCUUUUUAAGCUUAGUGGCGAACGGGUGAGUAACGCGUGAGUAACCUGCCCUAGAGUGGGGGACAACAGUUGGAAACGACUGCUAAUACCGCAUAAGCCCACGGUACCGCAUGGUACUGAGGGAAAAGGAUUUAUUCGCUUUAGGAUGGACUCGCGUCCAAUUAGCUAGUUGGUGAGGUAACGGCCCACCAAGGCGACGAUUGGUAGCCGGACUGAGAGGUUGAACGGCCACAUUGGGACUGAGACACGGCCCAGACUCCUACGGGAGGCAGCAGUGAGGAAUAUUGGUCAAUGGACGAGAGUCUGAACCAGCCAAGUAGCGUGAAGGAUGACUGCCCUAUGGGUUGUAAACUUCUUUUAUACGGGAAUAAAGUUAGCCACGUGUGGCUUUUUGUAUGUACCGUAUGAAUAAGGAUCGGCUAACUCCGUGCCAGCAGCCGCGGUAAUACGGAGGAUCCGAGCGUUAUCCGGAUUUAUUGGGUUUAAAGGGAGCGUAGGCGGGUUGUUAAGUCAGUUGUGAAAGCUUGCGGCUCAACCGUAAAAUUGCAGUUGAUACUGGCGACCUUGAGUGCAACAGAGGUAGGCGGAAUUCGUGGUGUAGCGGUGAAAUGCUUAGAUAUCACGAAGAACUCCGAUUGCGAAGGCAGCUUACUGGAUUGUAACUGACGCUGAUGCUCGAAAGUGUGGGUAUCAAACAGGAUUAGAUACCCUGGUAGUCCACACAGUAAACGAU
rnacentral:rRNA from 1 species